AUACGUAGGGGGCAAGCGUUGUCCGGAAUUACUGGGCGUAAAGAGCUCGUAGGCGGCUCAGCAAGUCGGUCGAGAAAGCCCGAGGCUCAACCUCGGAACUGCGGUCGAUACUGCUGUGGCUAGAGUCCGGUAGAGGAGAGUGGAAUUCCCGGUGUAGCGGUGGAAUGCGCAGAUAUCGGGAGGAACACCAGUGGCGAAGGCGGCUCUCUGGGCCGGUACUGACGCUGAGGAGCGAAAGCGUGGGGAGCAAACAGGAUUAGAAACCCGAGUAGUCC
rnacentral:rRNA from 1 species